UCGUUCCUUCUUGAUAAUAAGAACCAUUUAUGCUCUUCUAAGACAUGCAGAUGAUACAUAAAGGCGUAGAGAAACGCGUGUACUUCCCGUCUAAAGAACCAUGUGUGUGAAUGUGUACUGAGCCCUCCUGUGGGUCAGCCCGGUUGCGGGUGCUGUAGACAGGGUGCACAGCGGAGACAGACUCAUCCCUGCUCCCAGGAACUCCCUGCUAGCGCGUGGACACAGACCCUUCCAGCUGGUUUUCCAGAAGGAAAACGGACCCUACAGAGUGUGGAUUCACCAGGGCCAUCUGAAAGCAAAAGGCUUUGGGAUGGAGGUCCCAGGUGAGAAAUGGAUUCUUCAGGUACGAUUUGCAUUUUAACCAGAGUCAAAACACCGUGACUCCAAGGAGAGUGUAAUGAAGGAAUUUAGGGCACAGAGCGCGCCCACGAUGCCCUGGAGCCCAUUGUCUGCCUUUCUGGGGCCAUAUUGCCAUGAAAUCUUGUUGACCUUGAAAAGCUUCCAUGAGGAUUAAAUCAACAACCUCAGAAGUGGUGUUCAGCUCUGAAACUCAGUUUCCUCACUUGCCAGAAGGCCCUCUUCCCAGGCAGGCCCUGUGGGACUGAGCAAAGCUGAAUUCAAAGCCAGCCCUGCUAUCUACCAGCUGUGUGGCCUCCCGUAGGACCUGAAACCUCAUGGCCUCUGAGUUCCCCCACUUGGAAACAGGCAUGAAAUUACUCUCGGUACAGAAUUGAAAG